UCCCCAGGAGCCUUGCCCAAACCCUUCCCUCUAGGCGUGGGGGUCAGAGUGGUUUGUCUUGAAGGUGGGAGCACUAGAGAGGGGCAGUAGAUGAACCACGAGCCCCAGGACAGACACAGGAGGACGAACAGGCGCAGAGGACACGGGGAGAAGGCGGUUACCUAGACUCAUCUAUUCUCCACAAGGUACUGGUUGAUAAUACACCCUAUGAAGUUAAUGGAAUGGGAACUCUUCCAGAAGGCCCAAAGGGAAGAUAUGACACAUUCAACAGACUUCGGGACUUGAUGAAGUGAGAGUGAAGAAUGUUAGAAGAACACCAGUGAUGGAAGUCAUGGGCUGAAACUGACCAAGUGCACUACAAAAGCUUUUUGAAUUCUUACAUCGUGGCUCUGAAGGAGACAGACAAAUGUCUGCAUCAUGGUGUCUGCAAAGUGCUGUUCAGUCGAUUUUGAAUUAUAACAGUUGGGUUAAUCCAAGCUAUCUUUAUUCAAUGGCCCAACUCAAAAAGGUUAGGAAAUGCCCAAAUUAAGGUUGCCCAUGCAACUUUAAUUUGGUCCUCUUCUGUGUAUGCAUUAUGAUACACUUCUUAAUUACAUGAUCACGUACUGUUUUUCCACAGGACCCUGACCUAGUCAGUGCACUGGGAGGACGGUGUUCAGAGAAUGGGUAACUAUUCAGUAUUUCUUUUCAUCCUCAUCAUUCAGUGUGUAGUCCCAUGCAUUGUUUAGUGCAUGCCUCCCAAACUCUGCACUGAAUACAGAAUUGUUAAUUUCCUCAUGGGCUUUUCUAUGAUGCUGUCAUUGUCAUAGCUUAGUUCUUAACAAACUUUAACGAGUUUAUCUUCAAAACCUUCUUGUGACGUGAGCUGUUAUUGUUUGUCCCCAUUUGACAGAUGAGGAAAUGAGAUUUGGAGAUAAAAGUAAAAAAGUUAACAAUUUUGGGUACCCAAUUUGAGACACGCAGGUCCUGAUUUUUCAGAGUACUUAGCACUAAAUAGCACUUUGUGUUCAGAGCAGAGCUCCCAUUGUUCUCAGUUUUAGUUGUGAAUGGUCAACACGUCUGCAAAUCAGACCUCAGCUGUUUCAAAAUUAACAUCCAGAAAAUGAAGAACACACAAUGGCCACCAAUGAAAACGGUGUAAUUUCUCAGUAUCCCAUAAGAACUCUGGCAGAAGCAGAGAUCUAGUUCUCAGGAUGGCAUUCAACUGCCUUAACUUUGAGACCCUCCUUUCUCUUCCUGAAGUUCUCUGCUUCAUUAACUACACAUCUUCCAAAGGAAGUUGGAUGGGGUGGGAGUGGACGUGCUCUGCGACUGUAGGGCCUAUUUCCGUUUUCUUGUACAGUAACUCCUCCAAGCAGAUUUCCUCUGGGCAGUCUUCACUGAAUUCAUCGAUGCCUUUGAGAAGCAGAGGGUGCUGUUGGGGGCUCUCUGCUCAGUGUCCUCUUCUGGUUACCAGAUUUUUAUCCUAUGACCUUCACUUCCACCCCUGUUUUUUUAUUUGUUGUCACCAGUGUUCAUUUGUGGCCCAGGUCGACUCGUCCUUCCCCUCAGAUGAGGGGGAAGCCCUUUAGCUAUGUGCGGGCUUAGGCCCACCAUCCCCCCCCAGGUCCACAAUAGACAUGCUCGUUCCAAUUUCUGCAACAAAUUAAAUGAGUCCUAUGUGAAGUCAGUAGCCUCAAUCACUAUGCAACCAUGAUUAAUUCCCAGAGCAGAUCCAGCAUUUGCAGUGAAUGAAAGAAGAGUUUUGUGGAAAAAAUAGUACGUGAUCAUAUAAUUAAGAAUUGUCUCACAAUGCAUAUGCACCAGGGGGCUAAAUUAAAGUCACAUGAGCAAUGUUAAUUCUGGCAUUUCCUAACUUUUGAGUGCUUGACUUUGCAACCUUAAUAAUGCUCUUUUAAGAGCAUAAGAACAGCCAUACUGGGUCAGACCAAUGAUCCAUCUAGCCCAGAAUCCUGUCUUCCGACAGUGGCCAAUGCCAGAUACUUCAGAGGGAAUGAAGAGAACAUGCAAUCAUCGAGUGAUCUGUCCCCUGUUGUCCUCUCUCAACUUCUGGCAAACAGAGGCUAGCAACAUUCAGAGCAUGUGGUUGCAUACCUGACCAUCUUAGCUAGUAGCUAUUGAUGGACCUAUCGUCCAUGAAUUUAUCUAAGUUCUUUUGUGAACCCUGUUAUAGUUUUGGCCUUCACAACAUCUCCUCGUGACGAAG